CGAGUUAGCCAAACAAUCGCUGGUUUAUUGAAGCCCUAAACCGUUUAUAACGACCUAGUGGGACAAAUAGACGAGAGGAAAGUCCGGGCUACAUAGGGCAGAGUGCCAGAUAACGUCUGGGAGGUGAAAGCCUACGACAAGUGCAGCAGAGAGCAGACCGCCGAUGGCUUUUUAGCACAGGUAAGGGUGAAAGGGUGCGGUAAGAGCGCACCGUGUGAGUGGUAACAUUUCACAGCAGGGUAAACUCCACUCGUAGCAAGACCAAAUAGGAACUCAAUGGGUGGCCCGCUCAGAGUUCGGGUAGGUUGCUUGAGCGUUUGUGUGAAUAAACGCCUAGAUGAAUGAUUGUUCAACGACAGAACCCGGCUUAUCGACUAACUCAAAGA
rnacentral:RNase_P_RNA from 1 species